UUUCAAAACAGACAAGGGAAAAAGAGAAACAUCAGAAAGUCUGAUUAAAGUAGAAGCAUCAUAUUUCUAUCAACGUAUCCACUGUGCUUGGACUCUGUAAUAUUCACCGGCAGGAAAACCCAAGGGAAUGACUACUAUGACAUCUGAUGGUACAAGAACUAACAAUGAACAGAACAAAGGGGUGUGUGAUCCAGUCCUUGCUCUGUUCACUGAGCUCUGCCCAGCGGCUGGUUGCUUUCACACGAGGAAAACCUUUUUUUCUGCUCUCUUGGCACAAAUUGCUGGAGCUGAAUGUACCAGGGUGGGUGAAGGGGAGGAUGAGGUCAGAGAGGUAACAGGGCCAGGCAAGCCAUUGUCAGGAUUUUGGAUUUUACUGUGUACGGAAUGUGUUUGCCAGAACAAUGCGGGAGUUGCAGAGAGAGGUGUCCUGUGUUUGUUCCCAGUCUUCCUUCACUCACCUGCACCUGCUCCUGCCCUGCUUCGGCCAACAUGUUCUAUGCAGGGUGGUUUUGCUGAUGAGACAGCUGCAGUUUGGGGAGUGUGAUAUCAAGGAAAGCAGUGUCUUGAGUCUGUCACUUUCUCUCUCUGUCCCAUUGGCUGCUCACUGAUGUCACUUAGAGGAAGGCAGGGGCACAAGAUGGGAGGACCCAGAGCUCCGGGUUCUUAAGCAUUAUAGUAUACAUAGCCUUGGAAUCAGAAGACCAAGAACAUACAAGAGAACAUAGCCUUGGAAUCAGAAGACCAAGAAACAAUUUAACUCUGCCCCUCUAGAGCUCUGAGAACUUGGGCAAGCCUUUUACCCUCUUGAAUUUUUGCCACCUUCAAUGAGAAAGACUGAAACAAAAAACUCAGAAGAAAGAAAGAGACUGAGAUAGCAAAUAUGACAAACUGUUAAAAAUUCAUGAAUCUGUUAUGGAAUACUAUGCAGCCAUAAAAAAGGAUGAGUUCCUGUCCUUUGCAAGGACGUGUAUGAAGCUGGAAACCAUCAUUCUGAGCAAACUAAAACAGGAACAGAAAACCAAACACCACAUGUUCUCACUCAUAAGUGGGAGUUGAACAAUGAGAACACAUGGACACGGCGGGGUGGUGGGAACAUCACACACCGGGGCCUGUCAGAGGGGAGGGGGCUAGGGGAGAGAUAGCAUUAGGAGAAAUACCUAAUGUAGAUGAUGGGUUGAUGGGUGCAGCAAACCACCAUGGCAUGUGUAUACCUAUGUAACAAACCUGCAUGUUCUGCACAUGUAUCCCAGAACUUAAAGUAUAAUAAUAAAAAGAGAGAUUAAAAAAAUUGGUGAAUCUGGGCAAAAUGUACACAGGAUUUUUCUGUACUGUUCUUGCAACUUUUCUACAGAUUUGAAAUGUUACAAAAUAAAAGGUAUUUUUAGAAAAAGAG
rnacentral:lncRNA from 1 species